GUUAAUAAUUGUUCUAGGGUCUGUUUAGUAUCCUGUCAGGGUCUGAUUGAUGGGCACUAUAGGUCAGGAUGUUUUUUGUAGCAAGUUGACCAGGGUUGACUUUGUUUUGUUGGGUUCAAGCAAUCUGCUUUGCGGGCAGGUGUUGGGGAUGAUUCGUAGUCUGUUGCUAUUGUUCUGAGUUUCUUUAGUAUUCAGUUUUGAGCUCCAUUUUAAUGGGAAUUUGUUGGUGUAGCCUGCCUCUUUUCUUUGACAAUUAUGAUCAACCUUGGUAGAGUACCUUGGUAGAGUUGACUGUUAGUUUUGUGCCUUGUCAAUAUAUUACUUACUCUGCCUAUAUGCAACAACCUAGCGUUGGUGACCAAGAAAUUCCUGAUGUUAGUUAAAGAUUAAGGUACACAAAUUCUAACUAUGCCCUUUAUUUUUGCCAUUUAUUUUCAAUUCUGUUUUUGAUAGUUCUAAAAGCCAAUUCUGAUGGAAGAAGGGGAAUACCAAUAAUCAUUUUAAAGUGUAGUUGUUCUAAAAUAAUUAUAAACUCUCAUAAAUGAUAUUAAUUUUUAUUUACUUAAUUGUAUGCACUCUGUUCUUUGAUAGACCAUGUAUAGUGUAAAUUACUAGGAACUUACAGGAUAGAGAAAAAAGAAGAGAAGUAUAUAUUAGCCAAGAUCACCAGUUCAUGACUUCAUGUCCAUGUAGAUGAAUCAUAUAUAGUUCAUGUCCAUGUAGAUGAAUCAUAUAUAGUUCAUGUCCAUGCUAAAUUUUGUUUUAAACCGCUUAAUCAGUUAUCUUCGUGAAUAAAAAUCUCCUUGCUUGGGUUUCUGAAGUUCUAAACCCUCAUAUAUUAUACGGAGUAGUUGGUGUUCAAUGUUUCAUCUCAUUGCUUCAGUCCUUAGCUGGGUAAUUAAAUUUAAGUUCUUGUUAGUAUGAAAUAUUGGUACGCCAUCCUAGCUUUAAUUAUCUUCCAAGAUAAAAAUCUCCUUCCAGAAUUAGUAUGACACAUGUUCCGGGAUUCCAAGUGUAACUGGACGCAAUGAAUGAAGAAGUAAUUCAUGACUAAUGGGGCAUUAUUCAGCAUAAUAGUUCAAGGCUUAACAUGGAGAUUGGUUGUAUCUUCCAUCUAAUUGUAGCUUGUAAUACUUUUGGCAUACUCUAAUAUUAGCUUGUGAAUGUGUAGUGAGCACAAUAUAUCCCUUUGUAGGUAAUGUACUGUAAUCGACUUAUUUUUGUUAAAUGAAAAUUAGUGUUUGAGGUUAUUA